rfam:Asian citrus Psyllid, Diaphorina citri - Florida Strain, whole genome shotgun sequence.
GACAGCAAAGAUAGCACAUUGGAGGAACCGGUUCCCAAAAGAUCAAAAGUUAAGCAACGUUGCGUGUAGUUGGUAACCGGAUGGGUGACCAUCUGGGCAAUAUUCUGCUGUUGUUGGCA